UCUGCCAAGAUGUUGGGUCACAUCAAGUCUGGGAUCCAUCAACAGAGAUCUACAGUGUGGAGCAGUGGAGGCUGCACAGAAGAGCUGGGCUCAAGGAGGAUACAGUGUGCUUUCUGAAAGGAGUUCAAGAAACAGAAGCAAUUUGAGGUUGGGGUUAAACCUGGCUCCGUCUUCACUGCAGAUACAAAAAUUAGCUCCAGUUGGAGCAAGGAUCUCCACAUAAGAGCUACAAUGAUGAAACUCUUAGAAGUAAACAGGACAACAGCUUCAUGAGGUUGGAGUUGGCAAUGACUUCUUGGAUGCAACAGCAGAGGCACAGGUAAUUAAAGAAUUCUACAAACUGGACUUCAUGAAAAUUAAAAAAUUGUGUGCAUUGAAAGACACAGUCAAUGGAGGAAUGAGGCAACCCAUAAAAUGGGAGAUGAUAU